rnacentral:pre_miRNA from 2 species
UCCUUCAUUCCACCGGAGUCUGUGCCUUUAUCCAAACAGAUUUCAGUGAAGUGAAGUGUA